rnacentral:rRNA from 1 species
UACGUAGGGGGCUAGCGUUGUCCGGAUUUAUUGGGCGUAAAGAGCGUGUAGGCGGCCAGGUAGGUCUGCUGUGAAAACUCGAGGCUCAACCUCGAGACGUCGGCGGAAACCAUCUGGCUAGAGUCCGGAGGAGGAGAGUGGAAUUCCUGGUGUAGCGGUGAAAUGCGUAGAUAUCGUAAGGAAGACCAGUGGCGAAGGCGGGUCUCUGGACAGUUCCUGACACUGAGGCACGAAGGCCAGGGGAGCAAACGGG